GCGGGCGCGGGACGGAGAGGCUCGGCACCGGCUCCCGCCGGCCGGUAAGCCCCACAGCCCCGUGCGGGUCGGGGCUGCCCGCACCCCCUCUCACCCCAUGCCACCGCGCCGCUCCUGCCGAGGCAGCAACACUUUGGGCAAGUGAUCUCUACAGCCAGAGAGGAGCAUUUGGCAGCUGGAGCCCUUGGGGAAACCAUGAAGUAACCCUGCAAUUCCAGUAACAGUUAUGACAAAACAGAGCCCACGGAAUGAUCACAUUAAAAAAAAAAUUUACAAAGAAAAAUACCAGAAACAAAAACGCACAUAACAAUUCAAGGCUUCUCAAAAGAAAAAAAAAAAGACAAUGAAGAAGAAAGUAACUUACCUGUUGGGACAUUCUGAAUAAGAG